AACAACGGAGAGUUUGAUCCUGGCUCAGGAUGAACGCUAGCGACAGGCUUAACACAUGCAAGUCGAGGGGCAGCGGGGAUGAGAGCUUGCUCUCAUCUGCCGGCGACCGGCGCACGGGUGAGUAACACGUAUGCAACCUGCCCCGGACUGGGGGAUAAGCGGCGGAAACGCCGUCUAAUACCGCGUACGACACCUGGGGGCAUCCCCGGGUGUUGAAAGAGAUUCGGUCCGGGAUGGGCAUGCGGCGCAUUAGCUGGUUGGCGGGGUAACGGCCCACCAAGGCGACG
rnacentral:rRNA from 1 species